ACGAAGGGUGCAAGCGUUAAUCGGAAUUACUGGGCGUAAAGGGCGCGUAGGCGGCCUGCUAAGUCGAACGUGAAAUCCCCGAGCUCAACUCGGGAACUGCGUCCGAUACUGGCAGGCUUGAAUCCGGGAGAGGGAUGCGGAAUUCCAGGUGUAGCGGUGAAAUGCGUAGAUAUCUGGAGGAACACUGGUGGCGAAGGCGGCAUCCUGGACCGGCAUUGACGCUGAGGCGCGAAAGCCAGGGGAGCAAACGGGA
rnacentral:rRNA from 1 species